ensembl:lncRNA ARLNC1 androgen receptor regulated long noncoding RNA 1
GGAGUUUGAGACGUCUAGGCAACACAGCAAGAUCCAUUUGGUCCAAAGGUGAUGGAUCUCUGCAGUAAGUGGAAGAGUUCUUCAUGGCCCCCAAGGUUAUAUCCAUCUAGAACUUCAGCACGUAAUUUCAUCUGGAAAUAGUGCCUUUGCGGAUAUAAGUUAGGUAAAACUGAAGAUGAGAUCAUACUGGAUUAGGAUGGGAUCUAAAUCCAAUGAAAAUGUCUUCAUAAAAAACAGGAAAGAACCCAUAGAAACACAAGGAAGAAGGUCAUGUGAAGAUGGAGGCAGAGAUUGGAGGGAUGCAGCCACCGGCCCAGGAAUGCCAGCAGCCACCCAGAAGCUGGAAGGAAAUGAGGGAUUCUCUCCUAGAACCUUUAGAGAGAACAUGGUCCUGUGAACAGCUUGAUUUUGGACUUGCCCAUAGCUUGUAUACUCUUACUUUGGAUACAAUUUUAUCCAAACUUGGCUAAACAGUUUCUCAGCCUAUGGAAAAUUUAAAAUGGAGAAGAUUCAACUCGAUUCUUACAGAUUCAAAGCAAGAAAAUGAUGGGAACAUAGGAGGAGACCAAGAAAGCCUAUAAAAAGCAAAAAUAUGAAGUGAACAUUGUGGUAGCUUUAAGAUGUUUAGUGUAGCUGCAGGCACCCUAUACACAUGAAAACCCCCAAGGGGAAUCCCCAUAUCACAGUGUAGUGUGAUAUUUGACAUUCGUGAUCAUCUAGAGAUGUACAGAAAAGGUGAAUCUGUGUUCUGUAUAUUCUGCCUAAGGCAAAGAAAUGUUUAGCUCUCUUUAAAAUAGUUCCAUAAUUUUUUCUAAAAAGCUUUGCUUGAAAACUGUAAGCUUCCCAUAUCUGGAGCAUUUCACUUUAAAUAUUUGGAUAAAUAUGUUAUCUUCUUACUUGGACAUUUCAUGUGUUUAGGGAUUGUCUUCUAAAUUCUUCCUAAUUCAUAUAGCUGCUAACACUUCCCGCAGAGCUAAACCAUUACAGAUAUGAAAUAAAGACCUAUUGAUUUGACUUACUUUUACUUGUAAAACCUUCUGAGUGUUAUAACCUCAUUUAAUCUUUCAGCAUUUACAGUUUCAAGAGUUUGUGUCACAAUUAGAAGAAUUCAGCUGCACCUCCAAGUGACAGCAGUUGCUCUGGUUGGUGGGUGAUCUCAGGAGGCUUGAGAAUUGCUUUGUCUGUGAGGGAAGUAAGACAUUUUCAGAGCCCCACUUUAGAAGGUGUGAACUGGCUAGAUAAUGAACCCCAGGGCUAACGCUGCUAUAGCAGUGGGAAGGAGGUGAUGGGUUUUCAGUUUGGACCUCAAACAUCAAUACCCUCCUGGUACGGGGAGGAACAGAGUCCCUCCUUUACUUCUCCAUUAGAAAGAAUGAGAUGGCAAGACAAUGAAACAGGCAAAGUGAACAGAGAUGCAAGACAAAAUUCAGGUGAGAGAGCCAGAGCAUCACUCAGCCAUUCCUGACAUGUAAAACAGGCAACUAGAAAUUUGCAGAAAGGAAGCGAAGUCUCCAUAAAGAUGUUUUUAAAGUGAGCUUGAAGUAUUUGGAGACAAUUCAGUGUUACAUAAAAUCUGCAAAUCUCUGGAUAAAGAAGCAGAGAUCCCAGCAUGGGACAAAUGGAGCCUCAAAAGUGGGAAGAAGACAGAGAAGACCAGGGCAGAAUGCAUCUCUUCCUUUCUCUUGGCUUUCCUGGAUAAGGACUGCAUCAUUCCUGUGGAAGGACAGGCCAUCAGCUCCGAAACACUGUAUGUAUUUUCCAGUAUAUACUGCUAGCUGUGUGAUGUUGGGAAAAUUUGUUACCCUGUCUAACCCCCACUUCCCUCAUCUGUAAAAUGGAAAUAAUGAUAGUACCUACCUAUCUCAUAGGUGGCAACUACAAGGGGCAGCACACUCAGGGAAUUAAGGAAGUUUCAGUGAACAUCAACUUUAUGAACACAGUGUUCAUAAAGGCAGGUCAGUGCAGUGGUUUGGGAGCCAGGAGAAGCACGUGGGCCGGAGUGUGCCUGCAGGAGACAAGGUCAGAGAUGUUGCUAAUAAUGGAGAAUAAAGGAUGCAUUCUCAUUACUG